AAAGAACAGACCAUUGGUCUGUUUUUUUUAGCUGCACUACUGAACUGGUGCAAUAAGUUAAAGUGAGAAAAAAUAUAGUUGUCUCAUUCUAACUUAUUGCACUAAUUCCGCAGUGCAGCUAAAAAGAACAGACCACAUAUGUCGCACAUGCCUUACCGGAUUAUUUUUCAAAGUGAUAUAAAAAGAACGAAACUGUGUACAAAGAGGAUACAGAGCAAAGUUGCUCGGUUCAGAUUGACAUCAGAUUGGCGAAAGGAUCUGUGAAAUUGAUGCAGGACCUGCCGAUAGAUUCAUAGACAUCUGCAUCCCCAGACUGCUGUUGCCUUUCUGUUGACAGUUUAAUACAAUGAUUGACAAAUGACAAUACAAAUAAUAUAUUUCCAAAAUUGCACAGAAAAUUUAACAGCCCAAUUAACAUUAAUUUCAAAUACGAUAAAUUACCUUUCUACAAGUGUACAAAUUCAAUUCGUGAAGUAUACAGCAUGAGUGGGCUAAAUUCACCAGAAAAUAAUAUAAACAAUAAAGAAAAUUUAGAAAAGCAAUCGAUAGAUUCAGAGCACACAUCUUGUUGUGAAAAAUGUCGGCGAGGAUAUUCUUCAAAAUUUAUGACACUUGAACGUAAACUCAACCGGAUUAUUCAUUUACUGGAAAAUUCGAAAGAAGUACAACAUAAUGUAUUAGGUUGUUGCAGAUGAAAUGGCCGUUUUUCAAAAUUCAAAUUUCUCGGCUGAGUAGUUCAGCUCUUUUCAUGCAGCUGUCGUUGCAUGCGUGAUAUUUGAAAAGUAUAUGCUCCACACGUAAAUUCGCACGCAUAACCUUACUUUUAUCACAUUGUUUAUAUCGUUGAAAAUUGCUGUCUCUUCGACAUGGAAAGUAAGGAAAUGCGGAUAAUAUUCUUGUACGAAUACAAACUUGGUCAUUGUGCGGCCGAGGCAACGCGAAACAUAAACGCUGCUUUUGGGGAAGGUUCUGUAAGUGAUCGAACCAUUAGACGUUGGUUUGAAAAGUUUCGGUCUGGUGAUACAAAUUCGACAAUUUGCCUCGCAGCCAUGCACCAUUAGUGAUUGAUGACAAUGUUUUGAAAGACAUGGUUGAAGCAGACUCGCGUUUAUCAGUUCGAGAUAUUGCACACAGCAUCAACGUUCACUAUUCCACUGUUUCCCGACACCUAAAGGCCAUGGGGAAAAUGAAAAAGCUUGACAAAUGGGUACCACAUGAACUGACUGAGAGAGACAAGCUUCGCCGUAUGAAAAUCAGCUCAUCUUUGCUCUCCCGACACAAUAAUGAAGGAAUAUUGAAUCGAAUAGUAAUGUGUGAUGAAAAGUGGGUUCUUUAUGACAAUCGUCGACGUUCUACCCAGUGGUUAGAUGAUGAUCAAGCUCCGAAACACAUGUCAAAACCGAGCCUUCAUCCACGUAAAGUUAUGGUGGUAUCUGUAUGGUGAUCUGCCAAGGGUAUUAUGCAUUUUUCGUUUUUAAAAAAAGGUGAAACUAUAAAUGCUGACAAAUAUUGCCAAGAAAUUGACAUUGUGAUGAAAAAACUGCAUAUUGAACAACCGGCGUUAUUAAAUAGACGCGGUAUGUUAUUGCUCCAUGAUAAUGCAAGACCGCAUAUUGAAAAAGAAAACUGUAAAAACAUUAACAGAAUACAAAUGCGAAGUUCUCCCUCACCCUCCUUAUUCUCCUGAUCUUUCUCCAACUGAUUACCAUUUGUUUAAGCAUCUGGAUAACUUUUUAAGUGAAAAGGUAUUCCAAACAGAAAGCGACGUGAAAAAUGCGUUCAACGAAUUUCUUGCAUCUUGCUCUUCUAAUUUCUACGUGAAAGGCAUUGAUGCGCUUGUAUCACGUUGGGGGAAGUGUAUUGAGGUGGAGGGAAACUAUUUCGAUUAACGAGAUGUAUAUAAAGUGUAUCGAAUAAAAAUUUAAAUUAAAAAUUAAAAAAUGGCCAUUUCAUCUACAACAACCUAAUACAGCGACAGAUUGAUUUUUCUUUAUUACCGAAUUUUCCUCUCACUACAGUGGAAGAAGUAAAAAAUUUCAAUAACCUUUUGAAGGAUGAUAACGUUCGGCGACAAUUUAUGGAGAAAAUGUCACUAUAGGCGGAGAAACUGUAGCCAAUAAUGUAAGACAUAUGUCGCAAACUAUUGGCUACGAAGUUGUGCAGGCAUACGUGGACAGGACAAAAAAAGUUAUCUUUAAAAAAAUCAAAAUUUUCGGAGUCAAUAAUUGGUAUUAAAUAUUGCUCAAUAUUACCAGACAGCACCAAUGUCCAAAAGCGGGACAUUAAAGGCGUCUUAUGUCCCAGUUUCAGACAUUGUGCUGUCUGGAAUUUUUUGCCAUUAUGUUCUUUGUCGUAGAACUGUAUUAAUGACUCCUGCUCACAGGACGCGGCAACACUUGCCGCGCGGCGGAAGUUCGUGCGAUAGCCAAACAAUGUGCUACUUUCCGUAAUAACUUUCUAGCUCUUACGGAAAAGCGGCACGUUGAGUGGCUA
rnacentral:lncRNA from 1 species